AUGCGUCCUGACGGCCCGGCAUAGGCGACUCUGGGCGGGUCUGGGCCGCUCCAGUGUUUUGGGGCACAGAAGCUGUGGGAGGAGCUGGAGGCUUCACCGUGGUAACCACAGCGCCGCUGCUGCCCCGCCUUGCAGGCCUCAGGACUGUCAUCGCCUCUGGGUGUGAGGGUACUUUGGCCACUGUCCCCGGAAAUAGCCACGCCUGCCUCUCAGAUACCCCAUCCUCCCCACGCCGCUGCCGCUGCCGCCAUGCAAGGGGAGGACGCCAGAUACCUCAAAAGGAAAGUUAAAGGAGGGAAUAUUGAUGUACAUCCAUCAGAAAAAGCACUCAUUGUUCACUAUGAAGUGGAAGCCACCAUUCUUGGAGAAAUGGGGGACCCCAUGUUGGGAGAACGAAAAGAAUGUCAAAAAAUCAUUCGACUUAAGAGUCUCAAUGCCAACACAGAUAUAACUUCCCUGGCAAGGAAGGUGGUUGAAGAAUGUAAACUCAUUCAUCCUUCAAAACUAAAUGAGGUAGAACAGCUGUUGUACUAUCUACAAAACCGCCGUGAUUCAUUGUCAGGAAAAGAGAAAAAAGAAAAAUCAAGCAAGCCUAAAGAUCCACCUCCUUUUGAAGGAAUGGAGAUUGAUGAAGUUGCUAACAUUAAUGACAUGGAUGAAUAUAUUGAGUUAUUAUAUGAAGAUAUUCCUGACAAGGUUCGGGGUUCUGCUUUGAUCCUGCAGCUUGCUCGAAAUCCUGAUAACUUGGAAGAACUACUAUUGAAUGAAACUGCCCUUGGUGCAUUAGCAAGGGUCCUGAGAGAAGACUGGAAGCAAAGUGUUGAGUUGGCUACAAACAUAAUUUACAUCUUUUUUUGUUUUUCCAGCUUUUCUCAAUUUCAUGGACUUAUUACUCACUAUAAAAUUGGAGCUCUGUGUAUGAAUAUUAUUGAUCAUGAGUUAAAAAGACAUGAGCUUUGGCAAGAAGAACUCUCAAAGAAGAAGAAAGCUGUUGAUGAAGACCCUGAAAACCAAACCUUGAGAAAGGAUUAUGAAAAAACCUUUAAAAAGUACCAGGGGCUUGUGGUAAAACAGGAACAGCUAUUACGAGUUGCUCUUUAUUUGCUUCUGAAUCUUGCUGAGGAUACUCGUACCGAGCUGAAAAUGAGGAACAAGAACAUAGUUCAUAUGUUGGUGAAAGCCCUUGAUCGGGACAAUUUUGAGCUGCUAAUUCUAGUUGUGUCAUUCUUGAAGAAACUCAGCAUUUUUAUGGAGAAUAAAAAUGAUAUGGUGGAAAUGGAUAUUGUUGAAAAACUGGUGAAAAUGAUACCUUGUGAGCAUGAAGACCUGCUAAAUAUCACCCUUCGACUUUUACUAAACCUAUCCUUUGACACAGGACUGAGGAAUAAGAUGGUACAAGUUGGACUGCUUCCCAAGCUCACUGCACUCCUAGGCAAUGACAACUACAAACAAAUAGCAAUGUGUGUUCUUUACCACAUAAGCAUGGAUGACCGCUUUAAAUCAAUGUUUGCAUAUACUGACUGUAUACCACAGUUAAUGAAGAUGCUGUUUGAAUGUUCGGAUGAACGAAUUGACUUGGAACUCAUUUCUUUCUGCAUUAAUCUUGCUGCUAACAAAAGAAAUGUACAGCUUAUCUGUGAAGGAAAUGGGCUGAAGAUGCUCAUGAAGAGGGCUCUGAAGUUUAAGGAUCCAUUGCUGAUGAAAAUGAUUAGAAACAUUUCUCAGCAUGAUGGACCAACUAAAAAUCUGUUUAUUGAUUAUGUUGGGGACCUUGCAGCCCAGAUCUCUAAUGAUGAAGAAGAGGAGUUUGUGAUUGAAUGUUUGGGAACUCUUGCAAACUUGACCAUUCCAGACUUAGACUGGGAAUUGGUUCUUAAAGAAUAUAAGUUGGUUCCGUACCUCAAGGAUAAACUAAAACCAGGUGCCGCAGAAGAUGAUCUUGUUUUAGAAGUGGUUAUAAUGAUUGGAACUGUAUCCAUGGAUGACUCUUGUGCUGCAUUGCUAGCCAAAUCUGGCAUAAUCCCUGCACUCAUUGAAUUGCUAAAUGCUCAACAAGAAGAUGAUGAAUUUGUGUGUCAGAUAAUUUAUGUCUUCUACCAGAUGGUUUUCCACCAAGCCACAAGAGACGUCAUAAUCAAGGAAACACGUAUCCUUUCAGUGUUUACUGUAGAUAACAAUAUUUCACAUAUUCAGAAAAGAUGCAUCUUUGAGUUUUUUUUUUUUUUUUUUUUGCAAAUGUUGAAAUAACGUAGAAAACACUAAGUUUUGAGGAAAAUUUACAAGAUAACCUAUUUUCCAUGGAAGCUGUUGACCCCAAAUCAGUAUAUAGGUAGAAUAUAAUGAGAACAAUUUUAUUAACUCAUCAGGUUGUGAUUCCUAAGAAACUUAACAAACAUAUCAGAACUUCCUUCUCUAUUAACAUAGCUUAAGCGUCAGAGGUUCCUAAGACUAUCCUUGGUUCUUUUCUAAUCUUACCUUAUUUACUCUACUUGGGAAACCACAUCUAUUUCCAUGAGUUCAGCUACCAACUAUAUGCUAACUAUUUAAUCUUUAUAACCCCUAUCUUGAGCCCUAGGCAUUUGUUGCUAACUGCCACUUGGAUACCUUCCACCUACCUAAAGGGGCAUAGCAUGUUGUAGCCUAAAGAGCAUUGUAAAUCAAUUAGCCCUAAUUUUAAUUACCUUUUGCUACUUACUAAGCUGCAGGACCUUGGAAAAGUUACUUAACCUCCCUAGGAUACAAUCAGGUACCUGAAAAAUGCCCGUAACAUUAAUAUUAAAAUAAAAAGACCUCCUACCUUGUAGAAUUGUUGUAAGUACUAAUGGAUUUAAAUUGCCUAUAAUAGUUCCCAAUACACAGAGGUACUUAUACCUGGUAGUUUAUCAUUCUUGCAUCCAAAGGGUACUCAAUAUUGGUAACAUCCUCUCCUGAUAAGCAAAACAGUCCUGCCAUCUGUAUUCAUUGUGAAUAACAACAUUGUCAUCUAUACAGCCUCUUAAGCCGAAAAUUUUGGUAUCUGCUAACUCUUUUACUACAUAUAAUUAAACAUUCAUUUAUUCACACAUUUCUCAAGCUUUAACCAUCUAAACAGAUACUGGCUUAUGUGUUAGAUAUAUAAGAAGGUCCUUGACCUCUAUAGUUUAGUUGGAGAGAUAGACAAGUAUAAUAUACAAGAAAUAUAAAAUUAUAAUCCAGUGUGAUUGGCCAGGCACAGUGGCUCAUGCCUGUAAUCCCAGCACUUUGGGAACCUGAGGUGGGAGCAUCACUUGAGCUCAGGUGUUUGAGACCAGCCUGGGCUACAUAGUGAGGCCUCAUCUCUAUUAAAAAUAAAAAGAUAAAAAAUGAGCUGGGCAUGGUGAUGCAUGCCUGUAGUCCCAGCUACUCGGGACACUGAAGCAGUGAUUAUCAUGUGAGCCUGAGAGGUCAAGGCUGCAGUGAGCUAUGAUUGUGCCACUGCAUUCCAGCCUGGGUGGCAGAGGGAGACCCUAUCUCAAAAAAAAUUAAAAAUUCUGGAACCAUAUAGAGUUUCCAAGAGUCAAGUCUGAUAAAUAACAAGUCUAAUUUGAGAAAUGUUAAUAUUAAUAUGGGCUAUCGAAAUACAAAUGCUAUUCUGCCUUAACAGCUAACAGUACAGAAAGUAAUAAAUAUUUUUAAUAUGGUUUAUAAACUGACUUUCCCAGAAAGAUAAACUCCAAAUAUGCUCUUAAACAGUGUUAAAAUAAUUGGAAUAAAUUCGUUUUUCCCCAGCUGUAUUCCAUGGAACAUAAGUAUUAACAGCUGCUUAAUGGAAAAAAAGGUUCUCUGAUAGUAAAUAAGUUUGGGAAACACUGAGUUAAAGUUAACAAGUUUUCUUGCUACAGAGUCUUCUUGGAACCUUUAAUAUGCUUUUUUGGGUUGAGAGUCUCUGAAGGUGUAUUUUAUGUGUAGAAUUACUUAAAAUUUACAUAACUAUAGAAGCCACUACAGAAAACAGUAAAAUGAAAAUGUAGUUUUUCUAGGUAACUUCUUUGAAAUACCACCCUAUUUACAGGUCAUCUCAUAGGGUUUUUUGUGAGGACUAAAAAGUGAAGUAUUUAAAGUACCUACCAGGUACCUGUACACAGUGAAUAAGUGUUACUGCCUCUGUUUUGGGAUGUCUGUUUAAAAUGUACACUUCGUACCUUUUUAUCAAAGCCCACAGAAUUAAGAGAAUUCCUAUUUGACCUUUCUUUUCAGUGUAACUUUCUUUGCAUUUUCCCCCAAGUUUAAUUUUUGUUUUAUGUCACUGAAUCUGGAGUCAAUACUUUUUGAAUAGUUGUCCUAAAGAUUAUAACAUGUUGAUAAUGGUGCAACAGGGAGAUAAAAGAUCUGCUGAGUUAAAAUUUUUAUGAAAACUUUGUGUCUUAAAAUUGGAUAAAGAUCACUGAAGUGCUUUUCCAAAAUAGAAAACUCAGAAGUGUUUUUUAAGCCAGGCAUUGUGAUGCAUGCCUAUAGUCUCAGCUACCUGGGAGGCUGAGGUAGGAAGAUCACUUGAGCCCAGGAAUUUGAGGCUCCAGUGAGCUAUGAUCACGCCACUGCACUCCAGCCUGGAUGACAGAAUGAGGCUCUGUCUCUAAAAAAAAACUGAAAAAUAAAAAAAAAUUUUAAAAAUGUUUUGGAGUUGAAAACACAGAAUUUUUGUUGAUGUCAAUGACAUUUAAAUCUGUCAUGUUACAAUGUAUUACAUAUUAAAAAUUAUUGAAAUAUUUUAUUUCAUCAUAACCUUUAGCAUUUUAUUGUAAUUCUCCCUAUGAAUCCAAUAUGAAUAUUUAAAAUAAAUCUAUUAGGCAAUAUUUUAUUCCUUUUCUUAUUUUUUGUUAGAAAGUUUGAUCAAUAUUAUUUGAUAUAAUUUGAACAGAAUACUUGAUAUAUGAGAUAGCUAGUAUAGACUUAUUUUAGAUAAAUAUAUGAUUUAUAUUCAGAUGUUUAAAAUAUUAAACUGACUCUCAACCGUGACUCAACCACAUAAGAAUUGAGAACUAAUGCUGAUCUCAACAACUGCAGUAUGGGAAAUAAA